CCUACGGGAGGCAGCAGUGGGGAAUAUUGCGCAAUGGGCGAAAGCCUGACGCAGCGACGCCGCGUGAGGGAUGAAGGUCUUCUGAUCGUAAACCUCUGUCAGCAGGGAAGAACGGUCACUGUGCUAAUCAGCAGUGAAUUGACGGUAACUGCAAAGGAAGCACCGGCUAACUCCGUGCCAGCAGCCGCGGUAAUACGGAGGGUGCGAGCGUUAAUCGGAAUUACUGGGAGUAAAGCGCUCGUAGGCGGUAUGGUAAGUCAAGGGGGAAAUCCCCGCGUGUAACGUGGGAACUGCCUUUGAAACAGGCAAACUAGGGUGUGUGAGAGGAUAGUGGAAUUCCAGGUGUAGGAGUGAAAGCCGUAGAUAUCUGGAGGAACAUCAGUGGCGAAGGCGACUAUCUGGCACAUAACUGACGCUGAGGAGCGAAAGCGUGGGUAGCAAACAGGAUUAGAUACCCUUGUAGUC
rnacentral:rRNA from 1 species